GUUAGUUAGCUGAAGAGAUUCUUCAACAUUAGAGGCCAAUAUAGAAUAAUAUUCUUAUUCUUAAUCGGCCUUGAAUGUUAGGAGAACGUUUUCCUCUACCUAAG
rnacentral:pre_miRNA from 1 species